ACAAUCACUUGUAUGUAACAGUAAUCAAGGAUGUAGGUGCUCAUUAGAGAAUGAAUUUACUAAAUUGACCUACGAGAGAACAUCUGAUGAAGCCUUAUUUGCAUGUCAGCUGGUUGUUCUCUAGUGGAAGUUAUGCAAGUGAUCCUUAGAUCUGAGAUCACUAUGGUACCUUAUAUAUAUAAAUCUAUAUUUUGGUUCAUUCGCUAGCUUGAUUCUCUAAUACUUGUGUGGGGUGUUCUGGAUAUGAUGAAGUAUGCAUGAAGAUUGUGAGUGAUCAAUAAAGAAUCGAUCACUCCUAAUAAAGAGACCGAACAUCCUAUAUGAUCUCACAGGACGAUGAUUUGGAAAGCUUUUGGCCAAAGCAGGAUGAUAAUUAGAAAGAGAUUUUUAAUAUAUCAUCAACUGAAUCAUCACCUUCUGAUUGAGAUACAUAUGGAUGAGCAUUUAUUUUUGACAUAAUU
rnacentral:lncRNA from 1 species